rnacentral:rRNA from 1 species
GUGCCAGCAGCCGCGGUAAUACGGAGGGUGCAAGCGUUGUCCGGAUUUAUUGGGUUUAAAGGGUGCGUAGGCGGCCAAUUAAGUCAGUGGUGAAAUCCUUCCGCUUAACGGGAGAACUGCCAUUGAAACUGUUUGGCUUGAGUACGGUUGAAGUAGGCGGAAUUUAUGGUGUAGCGGUGAAAUGCAUAGAUACCAUAAAGAACACCGAUAGCGUAGGCAGCUUACUAAGCCGUAACUGACGCUGAGGCACGAAAGCAUGGGGAGCGAACAGGAUUAGAUACCCUGGUAGUCCAUGCCGUAAACGAUGAUAACUCGCUGUUAGCGAUAUACUGUUAGCGGCCAAGCGAAAGCGUUAAGUUAUCCACUGGGGAGUACGUCCGCAAGGAUGAAACUCAAAGGAAUUGACGG